UACAGAGGGUGCAAGCGUUGUUCGGAAUUAUUGGGCGUAAAGAGCUCGUAGGCGGUUUGUCGCGUCUGCUGUGAAAACUGGAGGCUCAACCUCCAGCCUGCAGUGGGUACGGGCAGACUAGAGUGCGGUAGGGGAGAUUGGAAUUCCUGGUGUAGCGGUGGAAUGCGCAGAUAUCAGGAGGAACACCGAUGGCGAAGGCAGAUCUCUGGGCCGUAACUGACGCUGAGGAGCGAAAGCAUGGGGAGCGAACAGG
rnacentral:rRNA from 1 species